CACCGCGGUUAUACGAGAGGCCCUAGUUGAUAGCCCCCGGCGUAAAGGGUGGUUAAGAUUUGUUUAUAAUUAAAGCCGAAAACCCUCAAAGCAGUUAUACGCAUCCGAGGGUAAGAAGCCCGAUUACGAAAGUGGCUUUAUUACUUCUGACUCCACGAAAGCUAAGGAA
rnacentral:rRNA from 1 species